UACAGAACUUCCGGGCUUCGGCCUGGUUAUUCAUAACCCUUUGUUGUCCGACUCUGUUGCCUCCGGGGCGACCCUGCCUUCGGGCGGGGGCUCCGGGUGGACACUUCAAACUCUUGCGUAACUUUGCAGUCUGAGUAAACUUAAUUAAUAAAUUAAAACUUUUAACAACGGAUCUCUUGGUUCUGGCAUCGAUGAAGAACGCAGCGAAAUGCGAUAAGUAAUGUGAAUUGCAGAAUUCAGUGAAUCAUCGAAUCUUUGAACGCACAUUGCGCCCCCUGGUAUUCCGGGGGGCAUGCCUGUUCGAGCGUCAUUUCACCACUCAAGCCUCGCUUGGUAUUGGGCAACGCGGUCCGCCGCGUGCCUCAAAUCGUCCGGCUGGGUCUUCUGUCCCCUAAGCGUUGUGGAAACUAUUCGCUAAAGGGUGUUCGGGAGGCUACGCCGUAAAACAACCCCAUUUCUAAGGUUGACCUCGGAUCAGGUAGGGAUACCCGCUGAACUUAAGCAUAUC
rnacentral:rRNA from 1 species